UAUGGCCAUAUCACAUUGAAACUACUGGUUCUCAUAUGAUCACUUAAGUUAAGCAACAUUGAGCCUGGUCAGGACCUAGAUGGAUGACUGAAAUGGGAAUAUCAGGUGCUGUAAG